CAUAGGUUAAUGAGGCGAACCGGGGGAACUGAAACAUCUAAGUACCCCGAGGAAAAGAAAUCAACCGAGAUUCCCCCAGUAGCGGCGAGCGAACGGGGAGCAGCCCAGAGCCUGAAUCAGUGUGUGUGUUAGUGGAAGCGUCUGGAAAGGCGCGCGAUACAGGGUGACAGCCCCGUACACAAAAAUGCACAUACUGUGAGCUCGAUGAGUAGGGCGGGACACGUGGUAUCCUGUCUGAAUAUGGGGGGACCAUCCUCCAAGGCUAAAUACUCCUGACUGACCGAUAGUGAACCAGUACCGUGAGGGAAAGGCGAAAAGAACCCCGGCGAGGGGAGUGAAAAAGAACCUGAAACCGUGUACGUACAAGCAGUGGGAGCACGCUUAGGCGUGUGACUGCGUACCUUUUGUAUAAUGGGUCAGCGACUUAUAUUCUGUAGCAAGGUUAACCGAAUAGGGGAGCCGAAGGGAAACCGAGUCUUAACUGGGCGUUAAGUUGCAGGGUAUAGACCCGAAACCCGGUGAUCUAGCCAUGGGCAGGUUGAAGGUUGGGUAACACUAACUGGAGGACCGAACCGACUAAUGUUGAAAAAUUAGCGGAUGACUUGUGGCUGGGGGUGAAAGGCCAAUCAAACCGGGAGAUAGCUGGUUCUCCCCGAAAGCUAUUUAGGUAGCGCCUCGUGAAUUCAUCUCCGGGGGUAGAGCACUGUUUCGGCAAGGGGGUCAUCCCGACUUACCAACCCGAUGCAAACUGCGAAUACCGGAGAAUGUUAUCACGGGAGACACACGGCGGGUGCUAACGUCCGUCGUGAAGAGGGAAACAACCCAGACCGCCAGCUAAGGUCCCAAAGUCAUGGUUAAGUGGGAAACGAUGUGGGAAGGCCCAGACAGCCAGGAUGUUGGCUUAGAAGCAGCCAUCAUUUAAAGAAAGCGUAAUAGCUCACUGGUCGAGUCGGCCUGCGCGGAAGAUGUAACGGGGCUAAACCAUGCACCGAAGCUGCGGCAGCGACGCUGAUGCGUUGUUGGGUAGGGGAGCGUUCUGUAAGCCUGUGAAGGUGUGCUGUGAGGCAUGCUGGAGGUAUCAGAAGUGCGAAUGCUGACAUAAGUAACGAUAAAGCGGGUGAAAAGCCCGCUCGCCGGAAGACCAAGGGUUCCUGUCCAACGUUAAUCGGGGCAGGGUGAGUCGACCCCUAAGGCGAGGCCGAAAGGCGUAGUCGAUGGGAAACAGGUUAAUAUUCCUGUACUUGGUGUUACUGCGAAGGGGGGACGGAGAAGGCUAUGUUGGCCGGGCGACGGUUGUCCCGGUUUAAGCGUGUAGGCUGGUUUUCCAGGCAAAUCCGGAAAACUAAGGCUGAGGCGUGAUGACGAGGCACUACGGUGCUGAAGCAACAAAUGCCCUGCUUCCAGGAAAAGCCUCUAAGCAUCAGGUAACAUCAAAUCGUACCCCAAACCGACACAGGUGGUCAGGUAGAGAAUACCAAGGCGCUUGAGAGAACUCGGGUGAAGGAACUAGGCAAAAUGGUGCCGUAACUUCGGGAGAAGGCACGCUGAUAUGUAGGUGAAGCGACUUGCUCGUGGAGCUGAAAUCAGUCGAAGAUACCAGCUGGCUGCAACUGUUUAUUAAAAACACAGCACUGUGCAAACACGAAAGUGGACGUAUACGGUGUGACGCCUGCCCGGUGCCGGAAGGUUAAUUGAUGGGGUCAGCGCAAGCGAAGCUCUUGAUCGAAGCCCCGGUAAACGGCGGCCGUAACUAUAACGGUCCUAAGGUAGCGAAAUUCCUUGUCGGGUAAGUUCCGACCUGCACGAAUGGCGUAAUGAUGGCCAGGCUGUCUCCACCCGAGACUCAGUGAAAUUGAACUCGCUGUGAAGAUGCAGUGUACCCGCGGCAAGACGGAAAGACCCCGUGAACCUUUACUAUAGCUUGACACUGAACAUUGAGCCUUGAUGUGUAGGAUAGGUGGGAGGCUUUGAAGUGUGGACGCCAGUCUGCAUGGAGCCGACCUUGAAAUACCACCCUUUAAUGUUUGAUGUUCUAACGUUGACCCGUGAUCCGGGUUGCGGACAGUGUCUGGUGGGUAGUUUGACUGGGGCGGUCUCCUCCUAAAGAGUAACGGAGGAGCACGAAGGUUGGCUAAUCCUGGUCGGACAUCAGGAGGUUAGUGCAAUGGCAUAAGCCAGCUUGACUGCGAGCGUGACGGCGCGAGCAGGUGCGAAAGCAGGUCAUAGUGAUCCGGUGGUUCUGAAUGGAAGGGCCAUCGCUCAACGGAUAAAAGGUACUCCGGGGAUAACAGGCUGAUACCGCCCAAGAGUUCAUAUCGACGGCGGUGUUUGGCACCUCGAUGUCGGCUCAUCACAUCCUGGGGCUGAAGUAGGUCCCAAGGGUAUGGCUGUUCGCCAUUUAAAGUGGUACGCGAGCUGGGUUUAGAACGUCGUGAGACAGUUCGGUCCCUAUCUGCCGUGGGCGCUGGAGAACUGAGGGGGGCUGCUCCUAGUACGAGAGGACCGGAGUGGACGCAUCACUGGUGUUCGGGUUGUCAUGCCAAUGGCACUGCCCGGUAGCUAAAUGCGGAAGAGAUAAGUGCUGAAAGCAUCUAAGCACGAAACUUGCCCCGAGAUGAGUUCUCCCUGACUCCUUGAGAGUCCUGAAGGAACGUUGAAGACGACGACGUUGAUAGGCCGGGUGUGUAAGCGCAGCGAUGCGUUGAGCUAACCGGUACUAAUGAACCGUGAGGCUUAACCUU
rnacentral:rRNA from 1 species